UCUGGUAAGAGAGGAGCAUUUUCCAGUAAAGCAGAAAUCCCCGCACCCAAAUUAGAUCAUUUGGCUUUCCUCAGUGCCAAUAAUGAAUCAUUCACUUACACUCUCCAAAACGAAAGAUGUUGCAAUUUGCUACCAAUAAUACCAGUGAAUAUCUGGAUUUGGAUGCAGCGCCCAGCUUUACUGCUUCGUCACUCAAUCGCUAUCUAAAAAAAUACCAGAGAGAUCACAAAAUGGUAACAACUGGCCUAAGCUGAUUUCCUGCUAGGGCUGCCUCUGGAUCCUUUGCCAAUAGGGAAGAAAAGGAGUCAUUUGCUAAACAAGGUGCUCUCUGCAGGAUCCAGUGUGAAGGGAACAGGACACACUCCCUUGAGCAAAAUGACACCGCAGUUUCUCUGGAGGAAGCUGGGAGUAGAUGACAGCGUUGUAUGUUUCUUUGAAACAGAAAAGUGUGUAGACUUUUCACAGCAUUACCAGCUGCUUUUUGAUUUAAAGCCGUUCUAUUCUGCGCUCGUUAGAGCACGCUAAUUUGGGAGAGCAUACUUAGACUCACACAUUUGUCUCUUUAUAGACUUCUGCUCGAAGAAGCCCACUAAAUUUGUGUCUUUGGUUAAGUGAAUUGUAGCCCCUGCAGGCAGGGAAGUCCAAAACCUCACAGAAACAUCCUUAUAAUGCAGCAGUAGAGGGGAACUGCCGCUUGCGUGGCAUUGGAGCGACACCUGGCGGCAAGAAGGAGCAGUGCAAGUACGGAACUCAACGCUUUGCGCCAUUUUCUUCCCCUCCACGAAAAACGGUGAGAAACAUGAAUGCAGGCGCUGCCGCAAACCCUUGCAAUCUGCAGUAAACUCACCCCCUUGCUCGGUUUCACGACGGAUCCCACUUUCUGCUGAGAACUCCUACCACUGGAAAGCGCUCAGCCAGCCUCGCUUCAUGCAAAAAGGAAAAAAAAUAAGUGAUUUAAACAUGUUGUUCUUAUACGGAUAGAGUGAAUGGCUCAAUGAGCACAGUUCUUUCGGUCAGAGGGGCGCAUUCUGCCUCACACCCACGUUUCUAAUUGAUUUUUGCAAGUCAUUUCCAGCAGCUCUGUUCAACUGGAGUCACUGUUGAUACCGGCGCUGAGCAUCGCACCCUGAGGAACAGCCAUCAGUGCAGAAAACUCAAGAAGUGAUGCAAAGUGAUAACCAAAC
ensembl:lncRNA